rnacentral:lncRNA from 1 species
AUUGCUCUUAUAUCUUUUGAAUGAAAUGAUAGAAUUUAACUUUUCCUUUACAGUUUGUGUGUUUUAAGAAAUCUUUCCCUAUAUGGGUGCCAUAAAGAUAUUCUCCUUUUUUGUUAGUUUUGCCUUUCCCAUCUAAGACUUUAGUUUAAUGAGACUGGUUUUUAAAUAUAGUGUAUGAUAGGGUUAUAAUUUUUUUUAUCAUUUGUGUAUACCUAAGUAUACCAAGAUAAUUUACUGAAAAGUACAUUCUUUCUCUAAUGAUCAGUCAGUAUCAUAUAAGUAGAUCUGUUUGGGACUUUCCUGUUUCAUUUGAUGAUCUUGUGACAAUACACUCUGUUGUAAUUAUUAGGGCUUUAUAACAAUUCUAAGUAUGUGAUUAAGUAUCCUUUUUUCUUCUUCAUCUUGGCCUUUUGCACUUCCAUAUAAAUUUUUAAAUCAGUUUGUCAAGUACCACGAAGUCGUUUUUGGGAUUUUGAUGGGAAGAUCAUUGAAGUUACUGAUCUGUUUGGGAAGAAUUGGUGUUUGUAUGACAUCAACUCUUCUUAUUCAUGUAUAUGAUUUUCAUAUCUAUAUUUAGCUAGGUUUUCUUUAUCUUUCAAUAAAGCUUUAUAAUUUUCAUUAUAAAGUUCUUUGCACAGUUUUGUUAUAUUUAUUCCUAGACAUUUUAUAAUUUUGAUGUUACUGUAUAUAUCUCUUUAAAAAGUUUAUAUUUAUUGAAAUUUUUUCUUAUAUAUUGAGUUUUAUAUCUUGCAACUGAAUUAAAUUAUUUUAUUAACUUUAAUAAUUUAUUUGUAGCUUUUUUUUAGGUUUUUAAUUCACAGAGUAUACCCACAAAUAUUGACAGCUUUCUUUCUUUCUUUUCAGUUCUCAUACCUUUUAUUACUUUUUCUUGCCUGAUUACUGGCUAUACCCUCCAGUACAGUGUUAUACAUAUGGUGCUAACAGAUGCCCUUGUCUUGUUCUUCAGCCCAAAAUGAAUGCUUUAAAUAUUUUACCAUUAAAUAUGUUGCUACCUGUAAAUUUUUUGUAGUUGCCUUGCUAGUUUAAGGAAGUUGUCUUUUAUAUCUAACUUAUUUUAAUUUAGGAAAAGAUGUGGAAUUUCAUCAAUUGCAUUUUCUAUUUCUGUUGAGAUGAUUAUGUGAUUUCUCCUUUUGCCAGUAAAAUAUAUAAAUAUAUGGUUAUAUAUAUAUAUUUCUUAUGUAAAAUCAAACUUGCACCACGGGGAUCAUCCAAAUGAUGCAUUAUCUUAAAAUAUACACACACAAACACAUACCCAUACUUCUGGAUUGUGUUUGCUAAUAGUCUAAUUUUUGUAUCUAUGUUCACGAGCGAGAUUGAUCUGCAAUUUUAUUUUCAUGCUCCACUGGGUUUUGUAUCAGAGUUUUAGUAGCUUCAUAAAGUGAGCUAGAGACAUUCCCACUUUUCUAUACACUGAGAUAGUUUGUAUGAGGUUGAAAUUAUUUUUCCUUGAAUGAAGACUUACUUGUUUUUUGAAUAUGUGUUGGAAAUUGCUGACAACACUGACUGGGCCUGGUUUUUCCAUAGGAAGUUUUUUAUUUUUGAUUCAAUUUCCUUUAUAAUAUGACUGUUUACAUUUCCCAUUUCUUCCUAAGUAAAUUUUGGUAAGUCAUUUUUUUUUUUCUAGGGGUUUAUACAUGACAUCUGAGUUUCCAAGUGCAUCACAUCAAGUUGUUCAUAGUGUCUACUUACUAUCUUUUUAAUCAUGGAAGCAUUGUUGAGUUUUUAUUCCUAACAUUGUUUAUUAGUGUCUCUUUACUUUUUCAAAAAUGCAUCUUCAGAGAUAUUUGUCCAUUUUUUGUGUUCUGUUAAAGAACUUUGAUAUUUUUUUACCUCGGCAUUUUUCCAGGUAAGUUUUCUAUCCUCUGAUAAAAUCAUUUCCUCUGUCAAGCAAUGGCAUUCAGGAUUGGAUAUUAUACUGGACUUUGAAAAACCACUUUUUCUCUCACAGGUACUUUAAAUGCUUCUUGAGUAUAAAUACUACUUGAGUAUAAAUAUGGAUAGAACUCUACUUGGAAAAAUAAUUAUGAAACCAGUUUAACUGAGGAAUU